GGGGGUGAUCGGUUUCGACGGUGGUCGUGAUUCCACGCGAAGCGGGUCGAGGAUGCAGGCUUAUCUCGUUAACGAUGUCUGCAAACCAAUAGGUGCCGAUUCCAAGCGCACCGACUUCGCCCUCGCUGCCUGAUAGCGAGCGCAUAGGAAGUCCGUCAGCCCGGGGUUGCUUCUGCUCCGGAUCCUGGCGUCAUCUAGGAAGCCACUGCUGUCCGUCCUCGUCGGUGGGGCGGGCGGGACUCUUAGCCGACUGAGCCUGUCAACGUCUUGUCUGCGUGAGCGUUGGGGCUGAGAAAAUCGUCAGCAGACUGCACCCGGAGAAUUCGUGGGUGACCGUCACCGGACCGGGGUUCGAUUCCCCGCACCUCCACCA
rnacentral:tmRNA from 1 species